rnacentral:lncRNA from 1 species
AUCUUUAUCCUUUGCCAACUGGCCAUUGUUUGAUGCUCAGGACCUAUAUACAAAAACUAAAUCCUCAAACUCUUAGCAAUCCCUAGAUCACCUGAUCAGCAAGUAUCAAUAGCCUGGACUUAAAUGGGAGUGAAUGUCCCUUAUUUAUCACAUCAUAAAAUCUUUAUCCCUUCUCCCAGACUAGUCUCCCUGUUGUUAAUUUUAAGAAUAGAUUCAAACAGAAAUUACAUUCAGAGCCCUGUCCCAGCUACACAUUGUGUCUGGAUACAAGGUCAAAAUAAUUGUGUUCCUGUGAAUUCUCUCUUUGCUUGGCCACAGUAACUGCCAGUUGCCAUGCAAUAAAUCACAUCAUCAUAUAACAGAUCCAGUUAAUAGCUGAGAAUAGUAGGAUAACUGAAUUAUGUCUUGAGGGCUAAAUGAUGGAGAAAUUGGACUGACCAUGGAGCACUUCAAAUUGAUGGCUUAGUAAUGGUGUAUUUUUCCUGGAAAGAACCGGAUAAUUCUGAACUAUUGAUUUUGUCAAGGGUACAAGCUCCCAUGUAGAAGAAAAUAAAGCAAGUGUGAUGAACUUUUCAUUUGGCUUUCAGCCUGGCUUUCUUGCUUUUUGCCUUGCAUUUCAUGCCUAUAUUUUUAUUCUUUAAACCCUGACUAGAUGAUCCAGCAAUAUUGGCCAUGUGGCAUAAAAUCCACAAUCUUAAUCUUCUUAUUACCAAAAUCUCAGCAAAUAUGAGGUGGCCAACAGCUCUUAUGAGACAAUGCCCUAAAUCUUACCUUAGGUUUCAAUCAGUUUAGGAAACAUGAAAAAUUUGGUAAGGAGACAGCAAUACACUCUCUGUAAAGAUUUCAGAGGUCAGGAUUCAGAAGACUAUACAUACAAACUGAAUACUGACAAUCAAGUGUUUUCUGAAUUAUUCAUCCUCUGGGACUGUUAUGUAAAGUAGAGACUUUGCAAACACAUUGUGCUGCAGUGCAUUUUGAGACAUGCCAUUUUUGGAAAGUGCUAACUUUGUACACUGCUGACACUAAACAUUUGAAAAUAAAACCUUUUUUUCUCUCUUUCUCUCUCUCCUCUACUUUUGGCUCAGUUUAUCCUAUCAAAACAUACUUCAAAAGACUUUUUAUAGAAAGAAUGUUUCAAAAAUAUAAUAUUUCCAACUGUUAUUUUAAUAAUACAUGCUCUGGGACUCUCUUUAUGAACCAUUUUCCUUUCUUUGCUCCCAUUUAGAUGUAUAAAUAUUUCAUUCGAAAGCCCUAAGGAAUAGUCAGCCAAUCAGGUUGCUGAACUGUGAACAUUCCUAACCCUAUAAUUUUGUCUGUAGCAGGCACCUCCUGCUGUGGAACUAACUGCUAAGGGAUAUAGCAAUGUAAUCCUCAGACUGCUCCAUCUCAAGCUUGCUCUGAAGUGGAGAGAGGGAAGUAGUUUUAAUUUUGAUAAAAUAAACUUUAUUUUGUAACUUUAUUAUUUGUUUUUCUUUCUCCUUUCAACACUUCAUAAUAGACGUGUCUGGUAACUUGAAGUCAGUCUCCCCUGCUAAAGUGCCCUAGGCCACCCCAUAUUCUUAUAGCUUUUAAAAAGGUAGCCACACAAUGUUUGGUCCUGUCAUUCCACAAUUCAGAACCCAAGUCUCUUCUACCUUCUGUGAACCAAACCAAGCCAUAUCUGACUCUUACUAAACAUAUUCAAAUGGUGAUUUCCCAAUGGGUGGCAAUAGGAGAAGCAUGAGCACUCUCAUGUCACCUAGAUGACAUGGAGUUCUUAAAACCAUGUGCAAAAUUUUAAGUACCUUUCUAGUUGUUAGACUUUGCAUACCAGACCUCUACUUCAGCAAUUAUUGGAGCAUUUAAUGUUACAACAUGAAUUUCAUGGGAACUCCCGCUUUGAUAUAAACUCAAACAUGUUGCUAGGAAUAAAAAAUCUUUAUGGAUAAAAUUUAAUAUAUUUUGAAUCAAGCUCAAAGAGAUCUUUUGUUGUGUGUGAAAAAUAAAAUAAAAAUUCCCUUUAUAAAAUUUUAUGGCUAGAUGGAUAGGGAAAAAUAUUUUCCAGGAUAAAAAUAUUUUCUCAUUUCUUCUUAAAUUAGGAAAGUACAAAGUUAUAUGUAUGCACAUAAAAUUAAGGCUAAUUAUUAGCAUGCAAAUAGCCAAAGUUUUCAGGAGACAAUAGGACAAAAAUGUGGCAGAACUUUUAAAAUAUUUAUAAUUGACCAAGGAAUUAUGCCAUUAUAAGCCUAUUCAGGAAAAAAAUCAGGUAUAUAUCCAAAAAUGUUGAUCACUGCAUUAUUUCAAAGAGUGAAAAGUGUAAGUAGUUUAAAUUUAAAAGAAAAAAAUCCAUUUAGCAAUCUGAAAAAGAAAUCUCAUAUAUUUAGUUUCACUUUAAAAAGAUCAUUUCUAAGUAUUAAUUUGAGUAUUGUCAUCCUUUAAGUUAGUGAGCUUAAAACUAUAUUAAAAAGUGCUUACUGCAAUUAGAUAUAAUAGACUUUAGGGUGACAAUAUAUACAGCAGUUGUUAACUUUCACUUCUAGUAAUGAAAUACAGCUUAUAUGUGACCAACAUUCCAACAGUAGCAACUUGAAAAGCUGGUUAAAUUGGAAAAAAAACCUUUUUUUGGCCACACCAGCAGCAUAUGGAAGUUCCCGGGCCAGGGAUGGAAUAUGAGCCGCAACUGUGACCUAGGCCCCAGCUGCAUCAAUGCCAGAUCCUUAACCCACUUUGUUGGGCCAGGGAUCAACCCCAUGCCUCAGCAGCAGCCUAAGAUGCUGCAUAGACAGUGUUGGAUUCUUAACCCCUUAUGCCACAGUGGCAACUCCUAAAAUUUUUUAUGGCACUGGAAAGCUAUAAAGCAACAAAUAAUUGAGGGUUCAAGAACUUCAAAAUAAAAGAAAACUAGAGAAAUGAGCCUAAUAUUUGGUGUUGGUUUUCCCAUCAAGUUAUCUCCCAAUUUAAAAGCAGCCAAGAAAAUAAUAAACUGAGGGAAGCUUUCAGCAGUUUUAUGGAAUUGAAGGAACAAAAAUUAGAUUUGGAGACUGUGAAGGUGUUCAGUAUUUGGUAAAUAAAAAGCUUCCAUUUGGGACCCCUCAAGGUCCGCAAACUAAGAGUAAGAAUGAACAAAAUCAACCCUAACAGAGACUGAAACAAACUCUAGAGUCAGUUUAAUCCCAGGUUAAUAUAAAGUGAUCUGUGUAGGCCAAUGGCCAACCAAAAGCAAAGUAAAUGCUCUGUGCAGGGGGAUAACACUAUCAAAACCUCCAACUACCUUUAAAAUGUCCCAUACUUAAGGCUGGCAUUGAAUAAAAUAAUAGACAUUCCAGUAAGCAAGACCAAAUGAUCAAAAAUAAAGAGAAAAAAAAAACAAAACACUCAAGGAGAAAAAUUUAAAAGACCUGUAGGAAAAACAUUUAUUAGAGUUAUGAGACAUGAGUUUUAAAUAAACUAUGACUAUCACUGCUUGAAAGCAGAUGAUGCCUAGUACCCAGAAAAGAGCAGCCUUUGCUUUUAUUUUCAUCAUUAUCUGAUCAUAAAUAAAAUUGACAUGUUUUAAAAAAAUAAAAAUAGGAGUUCCCGUCAUGGUGCAGUGGAAACAAAUCCAACUAGGAACCAUGAGGUUUCAGGUUUGACCCCUGGCCUUGCUCAGUAGGUUAAGGAUCCAUGUUGCCGUGAGCUGUGGUGUAGGUUGCAAAUGCAGCUUGGAUCUGGUGUUGCUAUGCCUGUGGUGUUAGCUUGCAACUGUAGCUCAGAUUCGACCCCUAGCCCGGGAACCUCCAUAUGCUGUGGGUGGGCCCUAAAACAAACAAACAAACAAAAAUUUUAAUAAUUAAAUAAAAUAAAAUAAAUAAAUAACUAUGACUAAUCUUUUCAAGAAGACACAGGACAAGAUAAAAAGAUUUAGCAGAUAACUGCAAUCUAUACAAAUAAUUAAAUUGGAAUUCUAAAAUAAAAAGUAAAAUAAAUAAAUUUUAAAGAUCAAUAAACAGGUUUAAGACCAGAUUAGAUAUAGUCAAGAUAAUAUUAGUGAACUGGAAGAUAAGGCAGUAAAAAAAAAUCUAGAAUAAAGUAUAUAGAGAAAAAGUAAAAUACAGAGGAUAAGAAACAUAUAGAACAUAGAAAGAAUGGUAAAAUAUAAUAGCAGUCCUAGAUGAAGAAAGAGAUGAGGUACAAAUGAUAUUUGAAGAGACAAUGGUUGACAAUUUUCCAAAACUGCUGGAAAAUCACAAGGCACAGAUUCAAGUAAUGCUAUGAAUGACUAGUAAGAAAAUAAGAAAAUGACACCAAGGAACACUAUAAUAAAUCUACUAAAAACCAAAGAAAAAGAGAAAAAUCUUAAAAGCAGCCAGAUAAAAAAUAUUUUGUGAGUUCCCGCUGUGGCACAGUGGGUUAAUGAUUCAGCUUGUCUCUGGAAGUACCCGCCUGGUACAGGAUCUGGUGUUGCUGAAGCUGUGGUGUAGGCCACAGCUGUGGCUCGGAUUUGAUCCCUGUCCCUGGAACUUCCAUAUGUCAUGGCUGCAGCAAGAAGAAAAAAAAUUUUUUUCAAAGAAGAAACAAGGAGAAUAACAAUUGAUGUCUCAGUCAAAAUAAUGGAAUCCAAUAAAUAAUGGAAAUCGUAUUGAAAUACAUGAAGGAAAGGAAUUUUUUAUUUCAAAUUUUGUACCUCAAAAAUUAUCUUUCAAAAUUAAAGCAAAAGAAAGAAAUUUAAAAACAAUCAAAUACUUAGAUUCUUCAUCAAAACUUCACUAAAAGAGAUUGUAAUGGGAAUUAUCCAUGCAGAAUAAAAAUGAUCUUAGAUAGAAGCAUGGAAAUGCAAGAAGAAAUAAAAAGAAGUUAAAAUAGGAUAAAGAGAAAUGGAAAGGGCAGAUAUUUAACUAAAUAAAUAAUAACAUGGGGAUUAUGAUAUCUUGUCAUGAUAAGGGAUACAUAUAAAUCAAAACAUAUGCCUCCAGAAGCAAAAAAAAAAAAAAAAAAAAAAAAAAAAAAAAAGGAUAGGAGUAAAGGAAUUAAAGUUUCAAGGUACUUGCAUGUGUAGAAAAUGUCAAAGUAUUAAUUUCUAUCAGCCUUUUGUAAGUCAAGGAUGUAUGUUGUACAUGUCCAAAUUAACCGCUAAAAAUAAUGGAAGAAUAAAUAAUG